ACCGACGACAAAAUCUACCUCUCCGGCCUGGUCUAUUGUGACAACUGCCAAUUGAAGUCUAUGACCGAGAUCAGUAAGAUGAUUCCAGGUGCAAAGGUGCGAUUGGACUGUAGGGAGGGGGGGA